CUCAUGUACACCAUGGGUACCGCUGUUACAGAGACAUUAACAAACUUAGACUGUUUUGAUUUCAAAGAAACCUGAUUUUGACUUUUUAACACCAAAGUUUUGAUCUUUAUUUCUAUUUUUUGGAAAACCAAUAGGAGACAGCAGCAGGAGGGGACCAGACUGGAUUGCAGAAAACUUCCGAGGAGUGUGGAGUGCUGCACAAGUGACUUGUUUCAGAUUGCUAUAUAAUCCAUUUCUUUCAAACCUGUGGAGGUGUGUGUCCGAACUUGAUUUCCUCAUUGCUGUCAAUUUUCAGGUAAGGUAUACAGUGACUGGGUCAAGAUUCCUUUCUGAUAAAUGAUAGAAUUUCAUAUCAAUUAGGGAUUCAAGCUUUCAAUACAUGAGAAUACCAAACCUCAGAGUGGGGAUCUUCUAAACAAAGUUUACACUUCCGGAGUUGUCUGCUAUGGCAUAUGUUUUGGAAUAUGGUUUUUCCCUGCAGCCAUUUUAUAGUAAGCCUUAUGAUUUAUACUUCUUAAUAACAUCUGUAGAGUAAAUGCCUGCCUCAUGUAGUUUUCACUCUUGGUGCUUUGCAAAUUGCCUCUUGGAUUGCUUUGGAGUCAGACAGACCUCAGUGUAAGCCAGAUUCACCAGUAACUAACUUUCUUUUCUUUUUCCUGAGACAGAGUCUCACUCUGUUACCCAGGCUGGAGUGUAGUGGUACAAUCACAGAUCAGUGCAGCCUUGACCUUCUG
rnacentral:lncRNA from 13 species